UUCACUUAGUCAUCCUUAACUCCACCAGCAAAACCAAGCUACCAGACUCAUGGCCGGCUUCAGUAGUACUUCUUGGCCAUGACGACCUCACGUUGGAGCAAAAAGCCCUCCUGGUGAACCUCUCUUCACCACCAUCACCUCCGUCGAGCAGUAGCUGUGACUGCAGACGACAACCGUGUCGAAGCCAGAUCAGUCCACCUCCAACUCGCCGGCCUCAGUACAUCAUCAGUAUAAACAAGCAAAGAAAAAUCAAAACUUCAUCAUGGGACUUUAGCAUCUGUCUUUUUCCCCUCACGGGAGAUCACUGUUGUAACUAAAAAAAGGAUUCAAAUUAAGCUGACGGGGGAUCACUACCAAAGAGCUUAAGAUCCUGGACUGCACCCUCCCCCCUGCUAAUCAAGAAACCAGACACUGAUAUUCAUGGCGGGGGUCUUGGAUGCUUUGGCAUCCUACGUCCAGAACAUGCUUACGGAGAUGGCAAGGGAUGAGGUGCAUAUGCUGCUGGGAGUCACCGGAGAUAUCGAAAAGAUGGACAUCAAGCUCAAGGACCUCAAGAAUUUUCUCCUAGAUGCUGACAAGAGGAGCAUCACCGACCAGAGUGUGCAAGCAUGGGUACUAGAGCUUAGGGAGGCCAUGUAUGAUGCCACCAACAUCCUCGACAUUUGUCAGCUCAAGGCCAUGGAGCGGGGUCCAAGCCAUGAUGCAGGAUGCUUCAACCCCCUGCUAUUUUCUGCAUGCGGAAUCCCAUUCACACCUACAAGAUUGGCAGCUGCAUCAAGAACCUUAACCAGAGGUUAGAAGAUAUCAAGAAACGUAGCUUGGACUUCAACUUCAUCAACCUCAAUUCAUAUGCGGACUGUAGCAGGAGGGUGGCUUCCUCUCGCCUUGGUAGUCGUGAGACAUCUGGGAUCCUUGAUGAGUCAAGUUUGGUCGGUGAGAAUAUCGAGGAGGACACAAGACACUUGGUGGAGAUGCUAACAACAGUGGAGCUAUCAAAUUGUAAGAACAACAAAUUUUUGGUUUUCGCUAUUGUGGGAGUUGGAGGGAUUGGUAAAACAACCCUAGCUAAGAAGAUUUUCAAUCAUGACCUCAUCCAACAAGAAUUUACAAAGAAAAUAUGGUUGAGUGUGAACAAGGACCUCAGUGAGACUGAGCUAUUGAGAAGAGCUGUCAUUGAAGCUAAGGGUGACCCCCAAUCUGCUGGAAAUACUAGAGGUGCACUUGAGCGAGCUCUUAAGGAAGCCUUGAAUGGGCAAAAGACCUUAUUGGUGAUGGAUGAUGUUUGGAAGCAUCAAGUAUGGGAGGAUGUGCUCCAAACUCCCUUGGUCAGUGCUGCCCUAGCUCAUGGUAGCCGUGUCCUCAUCACCACAAGACAUGACGUGGUCGCAAGAGGGAUGAUGGCAACAAAACCCUACCACAAUGUCAAUAAACUUGAUCCCGAAGAUGCAUGGUUGUUGCUCAAGAAGAAGGUAGUUGGAAACGGAAAUGAUGAAGACCAGAUUGAACUGCUCAAGGAUAUUGGAAUGGAAAUUAUAACAAAAUGUGAUUAUUUACCACUUGCUGUGAAAGUAAUGGGAGGUCUCUUGCGUCAAAAAACAGCAAGGAGACGGGAGUGGAAAAAUGUCCUAAAUGACUCGAUAUGGUCAGUAUCCCAAAUGCCUGAAGAGCUGAACUAUGCAAUAUAUCUUAGCUAUGAAGAUUUAUGUUCUAGUUUGAAGCCUUGCUUUCUUCACUACUCACUCCUUCCCAAGAGCAGAGUGUUCUUCGCUUAUGAGAUCAUUGGCAUGUGGAUUAGUGAAGGAUUUGUUCAUGGAACCUCACGUGACUUGGAGGAAAUAGGAAAAGAGUACUACGAUGAGUUGAUACAGAGGAACCUUAUUGAGCCUGACAUACGCUAUGUUGAUAAAACAGUUUGCAAUAUGCAUGAUGUUGUCCGCUCAUUUGCUCAGUACUUGGCUAGAAAUGAAGCACUAGUAGCACAGAACAGGGAAACUAAUAUUGCUGACAAAAUCAAUUCACAAAAGUAUUUUCGCUUAUCGCUGGAAACAAGAGGAUCAGAAUCAGAUGAGUUAGAGUGGUAUUCAUUACAAGGACAGACAUCACUAAGAACACUAUUAUCAGUGGGGCCUAUAAAAAUCAAGCCUGGUGAUUCAUUCCUUGUUUUUUCAAAUUUACGGACACUACAUGUACAAGAAGCAAAUUUUGAUGCACUAGUUGAAUAUUUGAAUCAACUCAAACACUUGAGGUAUUUAUCCAUAGAAGGAACCAAUACAUCUAGGCUACCAGGAAGCAUUGGUGAGAUGAAAUUCCUGCAGUAUAUUAGCCUUUUUGGUUGUAAGAGUUUGGUAAAUCUUCCAAAUUCCAUUGUAACACUGCAACACUUGAGGUUUCUUAACCUUCGUGACACAGAAAUAAGACGGAUACCUAAGGAUUUUCAUGGUCUAACAAAUCUAAGGAAAUUAUAUGGGUUUCCAGCGCACAUGGAUGGUGAUUGGUGCAGUAUUGAAGAAUUGGGACCCCUCUGCCAACUAGCUGACCUUGAUAUAAGUGGCCUAGAGAAUGUGUCAUCAUCCUCAUUUGCAAAAAAGGCAAGGAUUGGUGACAAGGUGCGGUUGAGCCGUCUGUUCUUAGAAUGCACAAGUAGAAUUGAACAUGAUGGCCAGCUGGUAAAAGAUGAAGAAGGCAUUCCUGAGGAGCAGCAGCAACAAAUUGAAGAGGUAUUUAAUGAGCUCCAACCUCCGUCUGGCUUAGAAAACCUCAAAAUCAGAGGGUACUUUGGUCAGCGGCUCCCAAUGUGGAUGAUGUCGACAGCAGUUGUGCCCCUUGGGAGCUUGAGGAAUCUAACGAUCAAUGACCUGGCCAGCUGCACGGAGCUUCCUAAUGGCUUGUGUCAGCUCCCCUGCUUGGAACUCCUACAGAUUGUUCGUGCCCCAGCGAUCAAGCGUGUUGGGCCUGAAUUCCUACAACCGAACCAUCACUGCCACAACCAUUCCCAGGUAGGGGUCUCAUUUCCCAGAUUGAGUAAGCUGAUUUUUGUUGGACUGGUCGAGUGGGUGGAAUGGGAGUGGGAGCUGCAAGUGAAAGCCAUGCCCAUGUUGGAGACGCUUAAAAUCCAGAACUGCAAGUUGAGGCGCAUGCCUGCUGGCCUUGCCUUCCACACAAGGGCUUUGAAGAUAUUAGCCAUAUAUGGUGUCAAGCAGCUAAGCUGCUUGGAGAACUUUACUUCUGUUGUUCGCCUCGAUGUGUUUAGGAACCCUGACUUGGAGAGGAUCAGUAAUCUACCAAAACUACAGAAGCUCGUCAUCGUCAAGUGCCCUAAGAUGAAGGUAUUGGAGGGCAUGCCUGCACUACGGGCACUCAACCUGGAGGAUCAUGCCAUGGAAACAGUCCCCAGAUACCUGCAGGAUGUAAGUCCAACGCACUUGCUACUGUACUGCAGCUUAUCGCUGCUCACUUCCAUAGCAGCAGGGCAAACUGGUCCUGAGUGGGACAAGUUCAGACACAUCCAGCAAGUUAAGGCAUAUGCAAAUGAUGAAGGUGUUCCGAGGAAAUGGUACGUGCUCUACACGAGGCAUCCUUUCCACUUGGAGACAAAUAUCAGCCGCUCUGCUAUUGCCAAAGCAUCAGCGGCACGCAUCGACCAGAAGUUUUAUGCUUGCGACAAAACAAGUACCAUUGAAGAUGAGUGCAUGGUAGGACGAAAUGCAUCCGCUGACAAACGUCAGCCCCUCUGCCUCCGAUUCAGGUGCAUUGCUUAUCGCCAUUUGAUUUCCUGGUUGCGUCGAGCGUGCCUGCACUGCAGGGAAGCUGCCCACAUCGCCUCCAGUUCGGAUGAAUGGACCGAACCAGCAGUGUAUCGAGCGUGUACAAAACUCUUAGGAGGCAGAUAUACCAGGCACCAGCAACAAAAUGAAACAUCAAGAUUGUAAUGACAGAUCCAGUAGUCAUUGGAUGCGAGGAGUCCAGACUUGCACCAUCUGCCAAUGCAAGUGCUUGUAAAAAAACAAGACUGUUUUCAGUUAAUCUAUUUGUUUGCUUUCUUUACUUCCCACUAGUUAAUUGUUGCUCUCUGCGCCUGCGCACACUACGAAAUCAUUUCGUAUGGAACAUAUACAAGGUUUAUUUAGUUAUUAUUCAACU